rnacentral:rRNA from 1 species
GAUUAACGCUGGCGGCGUGCCUAACACAUGCAAGUCGAACGAGGUAGCAAUACCUAGUGGCAGACGGGUGAGUAACGCGUGGUCAACCUACCGUUGAGUGGGGGAUAACUAGCCGAAAGGUUAGCUAAUACCGCAUACGUCUCCGAGUGGCAUCACUUGGCGAUAAAAGGAGCAAUCCGCUCGAUGACGGGACCGCGUCCCAUUAGCUAGAUGGUGGGGUAACGCCUACCANGGCACCGAUGGGUAGCUGGUUUGAGAGAGCGACCAGCCACACUGGGACUGAGAAACGGCCCAGACUCCUACGGGAGGCAGCAGUGAGGAAUUUCCGCAAUGGGCGCAAGCCUGACGGAGCGACGCCGCGUGUGGGAAGAAGGCCU